UUUUCCUACGGGGGGCAGCAGUGGGGAAUAUUGCACAAUGGGGGAAACCCUGAUGCAGCGACGCCGCGUGAGUGAAGAGGGAUUUCGGUACGUAAAGCUCUAUCAGCAGGGAAGAAUAAUGACGGUACCUGACUAAGAAGCCCCGGCUAACUACGUGCCAGCAGCCGCGGUAAUACGUAGGGGGCAAGCGUUAUCCGGAUUUACUGGGGGUAAAGGGAGCGUAGACGGCUGUGCGAGUCUGAAGUGAAAUGCCGGGGCUCAACCCGGGAACUGCUUUGGAAACUGUACAGCUAGAGUGCAGGAGG
rnacentral:rRNA from 1 species